UUUCAGCAAUAGUAAAAUUUGUGAGAUUCAAAGUCUGAGCUCUAAUUUGGUAUUUGGACAUUUGCUAUAUAGCUUAUGUUCAAGUGAUUUUAAUACAAUAUUCCUUCCAAAAGAGUGAGUUAUUUCGAUAAUACUUCAUCAUCUAAUAGCACUGUUACUUUAUCCAAUAACACUAUAUCCCACAGUAAGAUUGGAUAGCACUCAAGAUUUAAAAACGUGUUUAGACGAUUGAAGUAUGCAGUAAUAAAGAGAUGAAGAGUAUGAUUAGAGGUCUGUAUGGGCAUAAGUAUAGAAAAAAUCUAAAGUGCUUUUUGCAAAAGGGAAUAAUAUAAUACCCUAUGAUACUAAAUGUAUACCCUAAAUUUUGAAUUUGACACUCAAGGGGUUUAACCGUUUGCGGAUUCAACUUAUUCAUCUGAAAGAAGUUGGGUCUCUGUUUCAUGUUCCGGAACGUGGCUCUGAAUGUCCCAAAACAUAAAAAGCAUAUUGUGUGGCUGGGGUUUCUAGUUCUUCAAGACUUGGCUGAAGGUUCCGGAACUGGGCCAUAUUCGGAAACAUGAGUAGCAGAACUGUACGUGCGUGGGUGUGGAGGGUAUGAUGCAAGUUGUUGGAAUAUGAGUGGUUUAGUUGCAUUUGUCCAUCCCCUUCUUCUAUAAAAGGAAAGGAUUCUUGUGAAAACCCAAACCUUUUUUUCCCCUCUCUCUCCCUCUUGCUCCUCUUGCUCCCCCUCCCUCACCAUCUUUGAAGAGAGGUGAGCCCUUCAUCUCCUCCUCAAGUUCCUUCACCGGAAAAUUGAGUCUUUGGAGCAUUGGUGUGGUGUUCUCGUUCAUAGGGUUUCUUUGUUGGAGAAACUCCAACAACAAGGUUCUAGCUAGGAUUGGGAAGCCCAGAGCGCGCCAUCAUCACGGAGUUAACAACUUGAGGUGGAUGCUCAACCUGAUGUGGGUACAGCUAUGCCCCAAGCCAUCCUUUGCUGCUGCUGUUCAUUUCGAUCGAGAUAAGGGAGUCGCGAGCUAGACCCCUACCUUCCCUGGUCUUUUGCUAGAGGAGCACCCCUACAAAGGUUUUGAUUUCGCUUCGUAUACACGAAAAAUUUCUAUGUAUACGGCGGGUCUGCUAGCGUGCCCAGGGAAACGUAGUAAUCCGGGGCGUGACAGGAUCCUUCAGGAUUGCAAGGUCGGCGAGAUGUUCUGGGAGCGGCGCAAGAUCUAUGACGGAUUUCAUGGGAUUUGAAGAAAAGGCAGUGGCGCGGAUCACAGAUGGACAGAGAGGCCCAGAGGAUCCCUGAAUUGUAGGAAUUCUGUCGCAGCACGAGAAAAUGUGAAGGGGGCGAGGGGCGGCGGAAGGGUUGGUUCCCUAAAGACGGAGGGAAGAGAGAGAGAGAGAGAGAAAGAGACAGGUACGGAUUUCGAAAGAAGGGGGCGCAGGGGUAAGAAAAAUAGUCCGUGUGGGACCCAUGUCUCCGAAUUUGCGGAGAAGCCUUCUAACCGGUUUAUGGUUCACCCUUUAAUUUGUAUUGAUGUAUUGAUAUUGGUAGUAUCAUUCUUGGCUUGUUUACCUGUUGUAGUCUUUACUUGUCAUAGAGAGAGCAUGCUAGUAGAAUCUUGACACAUUCAUAAUGUUAUACGGAGUAAUAGUAGUAACACAAAUUGCAUUGGCCAGAGCGGCCGUGGUUGAUGAUCAUA